rnacentral:rRNA from 1 species
CUUGGUCAUUUAGAGGAAGUAAAAGUCGUAACAAGGUUUCCGUAGGUGAACCUGCGGAAGGAUCAUUACCUAGAGUUGUAGGCUUUGCCUGCUAUCUCUUACCCAUGUCUUUUGAGUACCUUACGUUUCCUCGGUGGGUUCGCCCACCGAUUGGACAAAUUCAAACCCUUUGCAGUUGAAAUCAGCGUCUGAAAAAACUUAAUAGUUACAACUUUCAACAACGGAUCUCUUGGUUCUGGCAUCGAUGAAGAACGCAGCGAAAUGCGAUAAGUAGUGUGAAUUGCAGAAUUCAGUGAAUCAUCGAAUCUUUGAACGCACAUUGCGCCCCUUGGUAUUCCAUGGGGCAUGCCUGUUCGAGCGUCAUUUGUACCUUCAAGCUCUGCUUGGUGUUGGGUGUUUGUCUCCUGUAGACUCGCCUCAAAACAAUUGGCAGCCGGCGUAUUGAUUUCGGAGCGCAGUACAUCUCGCGCUUUGCACUCAUAACGACGACAUCCAAAAGUACAUUUUUACACUCU